CAGUAGCCGCGGGAAUACGAAGGGUGCGAGCGUUAAUCGGAAUUACUGGGCGUAAAGCGUGCGUAGGCGGUUUGUUAAGUCUGUUGUGAAAUCCCCGGGCUCAACCUGGGAAUGGCAAUGGAUACUGGCAAGCUAGAGUGUGUCAGAGGAUGGUGGAAUUCCCGGUGUAGCGGUGAAAUGCGUAGAGAUCGGGAGGAACAUCAGUGGCGAAGGCGGCCAUCUGGGACAACACUGACGCUGAGGCACGAAAGCGUGGGGAGCAAACAGGAUUAGAUACCCGCGUAGUCCCUGUCUCUUAUAC
rnacentral:rRNA from 1 species